rnacentral:rRNA from 1 species
GACGAACGCUGGCGGCGUGCCUAAUACAUGCAAGUAGAACGCUGAGGGAGGAGCUUGCUUCUCUGGAUGAGUUGCGAACGGGUGAGUAACGCGUAGGUAACCUGCCUGGUAGCGGGGGAUAACUAUUGGAAACGAUAGCUAAUACCGCAUAAUAGUAGAUGUUGCAUGACAUUUGCUUAAAAGGUGCAAUUGCAUCACUACCAGAUGGACCUGCGUUGUAUUAGCUAGUUGGUGGGGUAACGGCUCACCAAGGCGACGAUACAUAGCCGACCUGAGAGGGGGAUCGGCCACACUGGGACUGAGACACGGCCCAGACUCCUACGGGAGGCAGCAGUAGGGAAUCUUCGGCAAUGGACGGAAGUCUGACCGAGCAACGCCGCGUGAGUGAAGAAGGUUUUCGGAUCGUAAAGCUCUGUUGUAAGAGAAGAACGAGUGUGAGAGUGGAAAGUUCACACUGUGACGGUAGCUUACCAGAAAGGGACGGCUAACUACGUG